rnacentral:rRNA from 1 species
GAUGAACGCUGGCGGCGUGCUUAACACAUGCAAGUCGAACGAAGCACUUUAUUUGAUUUCCUUCGGGACUGAUUAUUUUGUGACUGAGUGGCGGACGGGUGAGUAACGCGUGGGUAACCUGCCUUGUACAGGGGGAUAACAGUUGGAAACGGCUGCUAAUACCGCAUAAGCGCACGGCAUCGCAUGAUGCAGUGUGAAAAACUCCGGUGGUAUAAGAUGGACCCGCGUUGGAUUAGCUAGUUGGUGAGGUAACGGCCCACCAAGGCGACGAUCCAUAGCCGACCUGAGAGGGCGACCGGCCACAUUGGGACUGAGACACGGCCCAAACUCCUACGGGAGGCAGCAGUGGGGAAUAUUGCACAAUGGGCGAAAGCCUGAUGCAGCGACGCCGCGUGAGCGAAGAAGUAUUUCGGUAUGUAAAGCUCUAUCAGCAGGGAAGAUAAUGACGGUACCUGACUAAGAAGCACCGGCUAAAUACGUG